rnacentral:lncRNA from 1 species
AGAUAAGAAAGAUAAGUCUUCCUCUACUGAUUUAAAAAGUAACUCUAGAACAAUUUUUUUCGAUAAAAAACACAUUUUUAUCAAGUUUUUCAGGUGUUUUGGAGUUGGACACACCACUUCGUAAUGCCCAAUAAGAAAAUCAUGUUGUUCCAAGAUGAUGUUGUGAUUGAGAGUGAUAAUUAAGAUGUUAAUAGUGAUCAUCUUAAUAGCGCACCACCACCAGAGGUUUUUAUGGAGCAUUUAAU